UUAAGCGACUAAGCGUACACGGUGGAUGCCCUGGCAGUCAGAGGCGAUGAAGGGCGUGCUAAUCUGCGAUAAGCGCCGGUAAGGUGAUAUGAACCGUUAUAACCGGCGAUACCCGAAUGGGGAAACCCAGUGUGAUUCGUCACACUAUCAUUAACUGAAUCCAUAGGUUAAUGAGGCGAACCGGGGGAACUGAAACAUCUAAGUACCCCGAGGAAAAGAAAUCAACCGAGAUUCCCCCAGUAGCGGCGAGCGAACGGGGAGGAGCCCAGAGCCUGAAUCAGCAUGUGUGUUAGUGGAAGCGUCUGGAAAGGCGCGCGAUACAGGGUGACAGCCCCGUACACAAAAGCGCAUGUGCUGUGAGCUCGAUGAGUAGGGCGGGACACGUGGUAUCCUGUCUGAAUAUGGGGGGACCAUCCUCCAAGGCUAAAUACUCCUGACUGACCGAUAGUGAACCAGUACCGUGAGGGAAAGGCGAAAAGAACCCCGGCGAGGGGAGUGAAAAAGAACCUGAAACCGUGUACGUACAAGCAGUGGGAGCUGAGGGAAAGGCGAAAAGAACCCCGGCGAGGGGAGUGAAAAAGAACCUGAAACCGUGUACGUACAAGCAGUGGGAGCCCCACCACUAAGCCAGUGGUGAACUCCACAUACGCAUCCUUUGCUGAGGAUACGGUUAACGGAGCGAAAGCGACGUUCAACCGCAAAAGAAGCAGAGGGGGCUUAGUGGUGGGGUGACUGCGUACCUUUUGUAUAAUGGGUCAGCGACUUAUAUUCUGUAGCAAGGUUAACCGAAUAGGGGAGCCGUAGGGAAACCGAGUCUUAACCGGGCGUUAAGUUGCAGGGUAUAGACCCGAAACCCGGUGAUCUAGNGUAAUAGCUCACUGGUCGAGUCGGCCUGCGCGGAAGAUGUAACGGGGCUAAACCAUGCACCGAAGCUGCGGCAGCGAACGUAUCACUUAAAGCGAUUCAGCGGGUUACGAUUGACGGAGCGAAGCGACGUCAAAGCGUAUACAAAGUCGAGUCGGUUUAAGGAUACGUUCGUUGGGUAGGGGAGCGUUCUGUAAGCCUGUGAAGGUGGCCUGUGAGGGUUGCUGGAGGUAUCAGAAGUGCGAAUGCUGACAUAAGUAACGAUAAAGCGGGUGAAAAGAUAGGGGAGCCGGAGGGAAACCGAGUCUUAACCGGGCGUUAAGUUGCAGGGUAUAGACCCGAAACCCGGUGAUCUAGCCAUGGGCAGGUUGAAGGUUGGGUAACACUAACUGGAGGACCGAACCGACUAAUGUUGAAAAAUUAGCGGAUGACCUGUGGCUGGGGGUGAAAGGCCAAUCAAACCGGGAGAUAGCUGGUUCUCCCCGAAAGCUAUUUAGGUAGCGCCUCGUGAAUUCAUCUCCGGGGGUAGAGCACUGUUUCGGCUAGGGGGCCAUCCCGGCUUACCAACCCGAUGCAAACUGCGAAUACCGGAGAAUGUUAUCACGGGAGACACACGGCGGGUGCUAACGUCCGUCGUGAAGAGGGAAACAACCCAGACCGCCAGCUAAGGUCCCAAAGUCAUGGUUAAGUGGGAAACGAUGUGGGAAGGCCCAGACAGCCAGGAUGUUGGCUUAGAAGCAGCCAUCAUUUAAAGAAAGCGUAAUAGCUCACUGGUCGAGUCGGCCUGCGCGGAAGAUGUAACGGGGCUAAACCAUGCACCGAAGCUGCGGCAGCGAGAAGGUGGCCUGUGAGGGUUGCUGGAGGUAUCAGAAGUGCGAAUGCUGACAUAAGUAACGAUAAAGCGGGUGAAAAGCCCGCUCGCCGGAAGACCAAGGGUUCCUGUCCAACGUUAAUCGGGGCAGGGUGAGUCGACCCCUAAGGCGAGGCCGAAAGGCGUAGUCGAUGGGAAACGGGUUAAUAUUCCCGUACUUGGUGUUACUGCGAAGGGGGGACGGAGAAGGCUAUGUUGGCCGGGCGACGGUUGUCCCGGUUUAAGCGUGUAGGUGUGUGUUCCAGGUAAAUCCGGUUCACUUUAACACUGAGGCGUGAUGACGAGGCACUACGGUGCUGAAGCAACAAAUGCCCUGCUUCCAGGAAAAGCCUCUAAGCAUCAGGUAACAUCAAAUCGUACCCCAAACCGACACAGGUGGUCAGGUAGAGAAUACCAAGGCGCUUGAGAGAACUCGGGUGAAGGAACUAGGCAAAAUGGUGCCGUAACUUCGGGAGAAGGCACGCUGACACGUAGGUGAAGUGAUUUACUCAUGGAGCUGAAGUCAGUCGAAGAUACCAGCUGGCUGCAACUGUUUAUUAAAAACACAGCACUGUGCAAACACGAAAGUGGACGUAUACGGUGUGACGCCUGCCCGGUGCCGGAAGGUUAAUUGAUGGGGUCAGCGCAAGCGAAGCUCCUGAUCGAAGCCCCGGUAAACGGCGGCCGUAACUAUAACGGUCCUAAGGUAGCGAAAUUCCUUGUCGGGUAAGUUCCGACCUGCACGAAUGGCGUAAUGAUGGCCAGGCUGUCUCCACCCGAGACUCAGUGAAAUUGAACUCGCUGUGAAGAUGCAGUGUACCCGCGGCAAGACGGAAAGACCCCGUGAACCUUUACUAUAGCUUGACACUGAACAUUGAGCCUUGAUGUGUAGGAUAGGUGGGAGGCUUUGAAGCGUGGACGCCAGUCUGCGUGGAGCCGACCUUGAAAUACCACCCUUUAAUGUUUGAUGUUCUAACGUGGACCCGUGAUCCGGGUUGCGGACAGUGUCUGGUGGGUAGUUUGACUGGGGCGGUCUCCUCCUAAAGAGUAACGGAGGAGCACGAAGGUUGGCUAAUCCUGGUCGGACAUCAGGAGGUUAGUGCAAUGGCAUAAGCCAGCUUGACUGCGAGCGUGACGGCGCGAGCAGGUGCGAAAGCAGGUCAUAGUGAUCCGGUGGUUCUGAAUGGAAGGGCCAUCGCUCAACGGAUAAAAGGUACUCCGGGGAUAACAGGCUGAUACCGCCCAAGAGUUCAUAUCGACGGCGGUGUUUGGCACCUCGAUGUCGGCUCAUCACAUCCUGGGGCUGAAGUAGGUCCCAAGGGUAUGGCUGUUCGCCAUUUAAAGUGGUACGCGAGCUGGGUUUAGAACGUCGUGAGACAGUUCGGUCCCUAUCUGCCGUGGGCGCUGGAGAACUGAGGGGGGCUGCUCCUAGUACGAGAGGACCGGAGUGGACGCAUCACUGGUGUUCGGGUUGUCAUGCCAAUGGCACUGCCCGGUAGCUAAAUGCGGAAGAGAUAAGUGCUGAAAGCAUCUAAGCACGAAACUUGCCCCGAGAUGAGUUCUCCCUGAGACUUAGAGUCUCCUGAAGGAACGUUGAAGACGACGACGUUGAUAGGCCGGGUGUGUAAGCGCAGCGAUGCGUUGAGCUAACCGGUACUAAUGAACCGUGAGGCUUAACCUU
rnacentral:rRNA from 1 species